CCUACGGGAGGCAGCAGUGAGGAAUAUUGGUCAAUGGGCGCUAGCCUGAACCAGCCAAGUAGCGUGAAGAAUGACUGCCCUAUGGGUUGUAAACUUCUUUUAUAUGGGAAUAAAGUGCAGUAUGUAUACUGCUUUGCAUGUACCUUAUGAAUAAGGAUCGGCUAACUCCGUGCCAGCAGCCGCGGUAAUACGGAGGAUCCGAGCGUUAUCCGGAUUUAUUGGGUUUAAAGGGAGCGUAGGCGGGUUGUUAAGUCAGUUGUGAAAGUUUGCGGCUCAACCGUAACAUUGCAGUUGAUACUGGCAGCCUUGAGUACAGGAGAGGUAGGCGGAAUUCGUGGUGUAGCGGUGAAAUGCUUAGAUAUCACGAAGAACUCCGAUUGCGAAGGCAGCCUGCUGGACUGUAACUGACGCUGAUGCUCGAAAGUGUUGGUAUCAAACAGGAUUAGAUACCCCUGUAGUC
rnacentral:rRNA from 1 species